AACAUGGUGGAGUGAUCAUA
rnacentral:snRNA from 1 species